GAUGAACGCUAGCGACAGGCCUAAUACAUGCAAGUCGAACGGUGUCUUCGGACAUAGUGGCGCACGGGUGCGUAACACGUAUGCAACCUACCUUACAUGGGGGGAUAGCCUUUCGAAAGGGAGAUUAAUACCGCAUAAGACAGUAGCUGGGCAUCCAGCAGCUGUUAAAGAUUUAUCGAUGUAAGCUGGGCAUGCGUCCAAUUAGCUAGUUGGUGAGGUAACGGCUCACCAAGGCAAUGAUUGGUAGGGGAACUGAGAGGUCAAUCCCCCACCCUGUCACUGAGAUACGGGCCAGACUCCUACGGGAGGCAGCAGUAGGGAAUAUUGGGCAAUGGACGCAAGUCUGACCCAGCCAUGCCGCGUGCAGGAUGAAGGCGUUAUGCGUUGUAAACUGCUUUUAUACAGGAAGAAACGACUCUUGCGAGAGGCAUUGACGGUACUGUAUGAAUAAGCACCGGCUAACUCUGUGCCAGCAGCCGCGUAACAC
rnacentral:rRNA from 1 species